UACGCAGGGGGCUAGCGUUGCUCGGAAUCACUGGGCGUAAAGGGUGCGUAGGCGGGUCUUUAAGUCAGGGGGGAAAUCCUGGAGCUCAACUCCAGAACUGCCUUUGAUACUGAAGAUCUUGAGUUCGGGAGAGGUGAGUGGAACUGCGAGUGUAGAGGUGAAAUUCGUAGAUAUUCGCAAGAACACCAGUGGCGAAGGCGGCUCACUGGCCCGGAACUGACGCUGAGACGCGAAAGCGUGGGGAGCAAACAGG
rnacentral:rRNA from 1 species